UUCUCGCGCAACCUAGGGUUUCGUUCCUCGUCUCAGGAGCUCCUCCUCCUUUGCCGCCUCGCGCUUCUCUUCUAGAUAGCAAAGCAAAGAGGAUGCCCCAUCAUCACUCUGGCUUUGAGUCAUCCUUCACAGUCCCAAUACGAUCGUCGCUUGACUUGCUGAAGUUUCACGUCCAUCGGUUCUCUGAAGUCUGACUUCCAGAUCCAGGCGUUCAUAUAAUUAAAGGUCGAAAUACGUUUGGAGGUUGUGUUUGAGUUGAGUGAGAGGUGAAGAGGGUUUGAAGGCUGAAGUCUUUGGGCUUUAUAUUUGUUGUGAUUGCGAUGUUACUUUCUACUCCAUGGAGAGGGCAAGGACUACAUGAGGGAAUUGCAAGGCGUUGGUGGGAAUUGCUUUGAAGUGGCUGAGACAGACAUGGGGAGCUGAUAUUUGUUGAUAUAAAUAAAAAAGUAGCGAGAAGUUCGCGGGGAAUUUCAGGUUGCCCUAGCAUGCGAAGAUGGAUUGAAUUAGUGCUCCCUGUCAUUGUUCCAAAGGUGGAGGAGAAGAAGCCUGGGGUCAAGGCCAUCGCAAUCUCCGGUUGAGAGUUGGUGAAUUUAUUGACCUCGUUGCAACUUGUGUCUAUAUAUAGAGUGUAUGUAUAUGCUGUGUUCUGUAGGGGUUUGUGUGUCUGAGUUGGGAGUCUUCAGUCCUCUUGCGUCUGAUAUGGCCAUAUUAUAACUGUCAUGACUUUCUACUGGUCAUGGGAUUUGACGUUAUGAUUUCCUAAGAUCUGUUAAAUGUGAUAUUGGUUCCUCAAA